rnacentral:lncRNA from 1 species
AGAAAGCAACGCCCUAAAACUACAGUCGCAUAAUGAACCACCAUCCAACAAACCACCAGAUAGAACUAUGAACGCCAAACCCACCAUCAACAGGCCAAAAACACCAUGGCUAAACCAUUAACCACUAAAUUACUAUGAAUCAGGUUGUACCACUGGCUCCACUAUUAGUUAAUACAUUGAAUAUGAUUCCGAAGGCAGACAGAGAAAGAGAAGGAGGUCACAGGCAACCUACUACAAAUCUAACUCCAAGCCAAAUAAAACACUCUUCUCUUCCAACUCUUU